CCAGACUCCUACGGGAGGCAGUAGUGGGGAAUAUUGCGCAAUGGGGGAAACCCUGACGCAGCAACGCCGCGUGAGUGAGGAAGUAUCUCGGUAUGUAAAGCUCUAUCAGCGGGGAAGAAAGAGGACGGUACCCGACUAAGAAGCCCCGGCUAACUACGUGCCAGCAGCCGCGGUAAUACGUCGGGGGCCAGCGUUAUCCGGAUUCACUGGGUGUAAAGGGAGCGUAGACGGCGACGCAAGUCUGGAGUGAAAGCCCGGGGCCCAACCCCGGGACGGCUCUGGAAACUGCGUCGCUGGAGUGCGGGAGGGGCAGGCGGAAUUCCUGGUGUAGCGGUGAAAUGCGUAGAUAUCAGGAGGAACACCGGCGGCGAAGGCGGCCUGCUGGACCGUGACUGACGUUGAGGCUCGAGAGCGUGGGGAGCAAACAGGAUUAGAUACCCGAGUA
rnacentral:rRNA from 1 species